AACCACCCCAUUCCCGGAUGGUUCCGCUGCUGCCCAUCGGCCGGACUCUCCCACUAGCCGGUGUGACCCUGACUCUGUGCCGGGUCUGAGGAUGCCCUCCGUCGUCACCCCUUAAAACGCGUUACCCGCCUUCGGACUGCGUCGCUGCGGCGCACCCCCUCCUGCCGGAAGCCCAACAUUUGGAGAAAGCCAAGACUGCUUCGAGACGCACAAGCACCCCACUGCCAUCCCUGUCUUCUUCGUGGCCGAUUGAUGCACGGUCGUCGGCGCCAUUAUGCAUCCCACGCUCGCAACAGGCCUAAAUAACCCGCAUUUCCCGAGCAUCCGCCACACAGCGCAGCCGGCACUUUAGGACGGCGAAUUGCCACCCGCCCGCCAGCUAUGCCCGUCUGAACUCAAGCCAUCCCCUCUGACCUUAAGGACCACAUCGCCACUUUACGCGUCUAUAGUCCUCCUUGUGGCCACCGCUUCCGCCCAGAGACCCGGCUAUGACUGCGACUCCUCGCUUUCGCACCCCUCGCUUGUCCUAAUCUAUGGGACCAUCAGGUGCGGCAUUUGCAACCCGCGAUCCACACCCCUGACAGUACCAAAGGCACGGCAUCGAUUGCGUAAUUCGCGGGGCG
rnacentral:rRNA from 1 species